rnacentral:ncRNA from 1 species
GGUUAAGGUGUCUAAUGAGACGCUCAUAAGAUACCACAAAAGGUGUUAUAGUUGGUCUAGAUAGCAGGACAGUGGGUAUGAAAGUCAAAAACCACUAUGGAUUGUGUAAUAACUUGCCUGUCAAAUCAGCCAUCUCUGAAAAUGGAUAGCACUUGAGCAUUGGACCUAUAGC